rnacentral:rRNA from 1 species
ACAACUUUCAACAACGGAUGUCUUGGCUCUCGUGAUCGUAUGAAGAACGCAGCGAAAUGCGAUAAGUUAAUGUGAAUUGGAGAAUUCAGUGAAUCAUCGAAUCUUUGAACGCACCUUGCGCCCUUUGGUAUUCCGAACGGCACACCUGUUUGAGUGUC